CGAUGCCAGGAGGCCGCCGCUGAAAACUCACUCAUUUCACUGUCAUGGCGUCUCCCGUUGAUAACCUUAUAUUUUCUCCACUGAUGAAUGAGACUUCUUAAAUAUUCCAGCUGACCACAGCGUGUCGGGAUGACUUGGAUGUUAAACUCGCAGACAUGUCAAUGGUAGUCAAUUGAUCCAUCACGUUGCGGAGGGCCACUGGGCUUAGAGAAGGCCAAAGCGGCUUGAUCCUCCUCAAAUCCAAAGCAAACAGGCACAACAUGGCCGCCCUGAUGCGCCGCAGCCUCGGGGCCUGAAAACAGGAGUUCCCCUGAGCAGCUAUCAAAAGCUUUGCUUCCCGCCAAGUGCAAAGGCCUCACGAUCCCCUGGAGUCUCAGAGGGCGAGGAAGACACGACCGGAGUCAACAACCUUCGUCUGUCCUUUUCAAGACCUUUACCCGCUCAGAGCAAAGCGUCUCAAUGAAUCCAGAACUUUCACUGUAAAUAUACAUAUUGAAGCCAUUACUCGAGGAGUUUGGAUGAGUCAAACGAUGAAGAAUGGCAUUACUCGAGCAGCAAAAAAGACAAGUCUUUCUUUUGAAGACGAUACUCCGUCUCCGGUUGUCGGUUGUGUUUUGCUUCCCUGAAAACAUGCACUUCAGAGAAGGGAGAAGCCCCGCAGAGAGACGGAGAGGAGGGGAGGAGACAAGGGGGCCAUGCAAAGAGAAAGCAGCUGCUUCGAGAUUUAGAUAUCAUCAUUCAGGCCGGAGGAUGGGACAUGGAGACAUGUCCCCCGGGGAGUCUGCAGAGCACGGAGAGGCACAAUGUGAGAUGCGUGUGUCGGACACAAUUUGAUAAAGAGUCUGUGAGUAAGUGACAGCGAAAUGCCUCCCAAGUGAAGCCUCGCGCUGCGUGUCAUCCCCCCCCCCCCCCCCCCCCAGACUCAGAAAAAAACAAGGAGGAAUUUCCCAGUAAAGUCUGGGCAGGACAAAGAAAAAAACUACAAAAAUAAAAACAAAAAAUGAUGAAUAUAAAUUGUGCAUUCAUCAUUGAUUACUAUGUAUAUUUGUAACAAAAAAA
ensembl:lncRNA